rnacentral:rRNA from 1 species
UACGUAGGGGGCAAGCGUUGUCCGGAAUCAUUGGGCGUAAAGAGCGUGUAGGCGGUUCGGUAAGUCGGCUGUGAAAGUCAAGGGCUCAACCCUUGAAUGCCGGUUGAUACUGUCGGGCUAGAGUCCGGAAGAGGCGAGUGGAAUUCCCGGUGUAGCGGUGAAAUGCGCAGAUAUCGGGAGGAACACCAAUGGCGAAGGCAGCUCGCUGGGACGGUACUGACGCUGAGACGCGAAAGCGUGGGGAGCAAACAGG